rnacentral:rRNA from 1 species
AGUGAACGCUGGCGGCAGGCCUAACACAUGCAAGUCGAACGCCCCGCAAGGGGAGUGGCAGACGGGUGAGUAACGCGUGGGAAUAUUCCCUUUGGCUCAGGAUAGCCCCGGGAAACUAGGAUUAAUACUGGAUAAGAUCUACGGAUGAAAGAUCUAUCGCCGAAGGAUUAGCCCGCGUAAGAUUAGUUAGUUGGUGAGGUAACGGCUCACCAAGACAAUGAUCUUUAGCUGGUCUGAGAGGAUGAUCAGCCACACUGGAACUGAGACACGGUCCAGACUCCUACGGGAGGCAGCAGUGAGGAAUAUUGGACAAUGGGCGCAAGCCUGAUCCAGCCAUGCCGCGUGAGUGAUGAAGGCCCUAGGGUUGUAAAACUCUUUUAGUGGGGAAAAUAAUGAUGGUACCCACAGAAAAAGCUCCGGCUAACUUCGUGCCAGCCGCCGCUGUAA